UACGGGGGGGGGCAAGCGUUGUUCGGAAUUACUGGGCGUAAAGGGCUCGUAGGCGGCCAACUAAGUCAGACGUGAAAUCCCUCGGCUUAACCGGGGAACUGCGUCUGAUACUGGAUGGCUUGAGUUUGGGAGAGGGAUGCGGAAUUCCGAGUGUAGAGGUGAAAUUCGUAGAUAUUCGGAAGAACACCAGUGGCGAAGGCGGCUCACUGGACUGGUAUUGACGCUGAGGUGCGAAAGCGUGGGGAGCAAACAGG
rnacentral:rRNA from 1 species